rnacentral:rRNA from 1 species
GGCGACCGGCGCACGGGUGAGUAACACGUAUCCAACCUGCCCUUUACUCGGGGAUAGCCUUUCGAAAGAAAGAUUAAUACCCGAUAGCAUAAUGAUUCCGCAUGGUUUCAUUAUUAAAGGAUUCCGGUAAAGGAUGGGGAUGCGUUCCAUUAGGUUGUUGGUGAGGUAACGGCUCACCAAGCCUUCGAUGGAUAGGGGUUCUGAGAGGAAGGUCCCCCACAUUGGAACUGAGACACGGUCCAAACUCCUACGGGAGGCAGCAGUGAGGAAUAUUGGUCAAUGGGCGCUAGCCUGAACCAGCCAAGUAGCGUGAAGGAUGAAGGCUCUAUGGGUCGUAAACUUCUUUUAUAUAAGAAUAAAGUGCAGUAUGUAUACUGUUUUGUAUGUAUUAUAUGAAUAAGGAUCGGCUAACUCCGUGCCAGCAGCCGCGGUAAUACGGAGGAUCCGAGCGUUAUCCGGAUUUAUUGGGUUUAAAGGGAGCGUAGGUGGACUGGUAAGUCAGUUGUGAAAGUUUGCGGCUCAACCGUAAAAUUGCAGUUGAUACUGUCAGUCUUGAGUACAGUAGAGGUGGGCGGAAUUCGUGGUGUAGCGGUGAAAUGCUUAGAUAUCACGAAGAACUCCGAUUGCGAAGGCAGCUCACUGGACUGCAACUGACACUGAUGCUCGAAAGUGUGGGUAUCAAACAGGAUUAGAUACCCUGGUAGUCCACACAGUAAACGAUGAAUACUCGCUGUUUGCGAUAUACAGUAAGCGGCCAAGCGAAAGCAUUAAGUAUUCCACCUGGGGAGUACGCCGGCAACGGUGAAACUCAAAGGAAUUGACGGGGGCCCGCACAAGCGGAGGAACAUGUGGUUUAAUUCGAUGAUACGCGAGGAACCUUACCCGGGCUUAAAUUGCAGUGGAAUGAUGUGGAAACAUGUCAGUGAGCAAUCACCGCUGUGAAGGUGCUGCAUGGUUGUCGUCAGCUCGUGCCGUGAGGUGUCGGCUUAAGUGCCAUAACGAGCGCAACCCUUAUCUUUAGUUACUAACAGGUCAUGCUGAGGACUCUAGAGAGACUGCCGUCGUAAGAUGUGAGGAAGGUGGGGAUGACGUCAAAUCAGCACGGCCCUUACGUCCGGGGCUACACACGUGUUACAAUGGGGGGUACAGAAGGCAGCUAGCGGGUGACCGUAUGCUAAUCCCAAAAUCCUCUCUCAGUUCGGAUCGAAGUCUGCAACCCGACUUCGUGAAGCUGGAUUCGCUAGUAAUCGCGCAUCAGCCACGGCGCGGUGAAUACGUUCCCGGGCCUUGUACACACCGCCCGUCAAGCCAUGGGAGCCGGGGGUACCUGAAGUACGUAACCGCAAGGAUCGUCCUAGGGUAAAACUGGUGACUGGGGCUAAGUCGUAACAAGGUAGCCGUACCGGAAGGUGCGGCUGGAACACCUCCUUU